rnacentral:rRNA from 1 species
AUUGAACGCUGGCGGCAGGCCUAAUACAUGCAAGUCGAACGAGUGGCGGACGGGUGAGUAAUGUCUGGGAACCUGCCUGAUGGAGGGGGCUAACUACUGGAAACGGUAGCUACUACCGCAUACCAUCAGAUGUGCCCAGAUGGGAUUAGCUAGUUGGUGGGGUAAAGGCUAACCAAGGGGACGAUCCAUAGCUGGUCUGAGAGGAUGACCAGACACACGGGAACUGAGAAACGGUCCAGACUCCUACGGGAGGCAGCAGUGGGGAAUAUUGCACAAUGGGCGCAAGCCUGAUGCAGCAAUGCCGCGUGUAUGAAGAAGGCCUUCGGGUUGUAAAGUACUUGCAGCGGGGAGGCGUUACCCGCAGAAGAAGCACCGGCUAACUCCGUGCCAGCAGCCGCGGUAAUUC